UUGGCACGUGAUUGCUAAUAGAUCGCGAUCCCGUGACAAUUGUUUCCUUUGCACUGAACAUGCUUUGAGUGGGGAGUCGGUUGAACAAUCAGGAUGUGUCUGAUGCUUUUGUACAAAAGUAUCUGAACAUCAACAGCACAGGAGAAAAAAAUUAGUUGUCGUUUCAAUUGUAUCAAUAUGGAGCUUCCGUAAUUUGUCAUAUGACAUAUUUGUCACCAUACAGAGCUUAUUGUAUUUUGAAGUUCAAGGCUUGAUUUUGCGUAUAUAUAUAAUAUGAAGCAACUCUAGCAUCAUCAUAAACUCACGGACAAGUUCAACAAUGUUCUACAAAUUGUUUGCCCUCUUCGCUCUGUUCGCCAUGGCUGCGGCGGCACCGAGCCCUGCUCCAUCCCCACAACUGUUCACAUACACAGCUGGUCUCGACUACUUGUACCCCGGUUCAGUGCCCUCCGUCAUCUCGCCGUAUAGCGCCCUCUCCCCCUAUGCGUACGCAGGCUACCCGAACUAUUACGUGCGUUAACUUAUAUCCGACCUCUAAUACUACAAUAAUGUUGAAAUGUUACUAUAAUACUGUUGACUAAUAUUUACU